UUGCUGUAAAAAGACUAUCCAAAAAUUCAAGACAAGGAGUAGAAGAAUUUAAGAAUGAAGUUAUGUUGAUUGCCAAGCUUCAACACAGGAAUCUUGUUAAACUUCUUGGAUGCUGCAUUGAGAGAGAAGAACAGAUGUUAGUUUAUGAAUACUUGCCAAACAAAAGCUUGGACUCGUUUCUUUUUGAUGAAGCAAGAAGCUCAUUUUUGGAUUGGGGAAAACGCUUCAAUAUUAUCAUUGGCAUUGCUCGCGGGAUCUUAUAUCUUCAUCAAGACUCAAGUUUAAGAAUUAUUCAUAGGGAUUUAAAAUGCAGCAACAUUCUACUAGAUAGUGAAAUGAAUCCAAAAAUUUCUGACUUUGGUAUGGCCAGAUUAUUCAUAAAUGACCAAAUUCAGAACAAGACAAAUCGAGUUGUUGGAACAUACGGCUAUAUGUCACCAGAAUAUGCAGUAUUUGGAAAAUUUUCAAUAAAAUCUGAUGUGUUUAGCUUUGGGGUGAUAUUGUUGGAGAUUAUAAGUGGCAAGAAGAGCACUGGUUUUAACAUGGAGGAUGCUUCCCUAAGCUUGAUAGGACAUGU
rnacentral:misc_RNA from 1 species